GCCGGUGUAGCUCAGUUGGUAGAGCAACGCAUUCGUAAUGCGUGGGUCCGCGGUUCAAGUCCGCGCAUCGGCUCCA
rnacentral:tRNA from 1 species